rnacentral:rRNA from 1 species
CCUGAGUACGACGGAGCACGUGAAAUUCCGUCGGAAUCUGGGAGGACCAUCUCCUAAGGCUAAAUACUCUCUAGUGACCGAUAGUGAACCAGUACCGUGAGGGAAAGGUGAAAAGUACCCCGGAAGGGGAGUGAAAGAGAACUUGAAACCGUGUGCUUACAAGUAGUCAGAGCCCGUUAAUGGGUGAUGGCGUGCCUUUUGUAGAAUGAACCGGCGAGUUACGAUCUGAUGCAAGGUUAAGCAGAAAAUGUGGAGCCGUAGCGAAAGCGAGUCUGAAUAGGGCGAAUGAGUAUUUGGUCGUAGACCCGAAACCAGGUGAUCUACCCUUGGUCAGGUUGAAGUUCAGGUAACACUGAAUGGAGGACCGAAC